UAGGGAAUCUUCGGCAAUGGACGAAAGUCUGACCGAGCAACGCCGCGUGAGUGAAGAAGGUUUUCGGAUCGUAAAACUCUGUUGUUAGAGAAGAACAAGGACGUUAGUAACUGAACGUCCCCUGACGGUAUCUAACCAGAAAGCCACGGCUAACUACGUGCCAGCAGCCGCGGUAAUACGUAGGUGGCAAGCGUUGUCCGGAUUUAUUGGGCGUAAAGCGAGCGCAGGCGGUUUCUUAAGUCUGAUGUGAAAGCCCUCGGCUCAACCGGGGAGGGUCAUUGGAAACUGGGAGACUUGAGGGCAGAAGAGGAGAGUGGAAUUCCAUGUGUAGCGGUGAAAUGCGUAGAUAUAUGGAGGAACACCAGUGGCGAAGGCGGCUCUCUGGUCUGUAACUGACGCUGAGGCUCGAAAGCGUGGGGAGCAAACAGG
rnacentral:rRNA from 1 species